AUUGAACGCUGGCGGCAUGCCUUACACAUGCAAGUCGAACGGCAGCACGGGAGCAAUCCUGGUGGCGAGUGGCGAACGGGUGAGUAAUAUAUCGGAACGUGCCCAGUCGUGGGGAUAACGUAGCGAAAGCUACGCUAAUACCGCAUACGAUCUAUGGAUGAAAGCGGGGGAUCGCAAGACCUCGCGCGAUUGGAGCGGCCGAUAUCAGAUUAGGUAGUUGGUGAGGUAAAGGCUCACCAAGCCGACGAUCUGUAGCUGGUCUGAGAGGACGACCAGCCACACUGGGACUGAGACACGGGCCCAGACUCCUACGGGAGGCAGCAGUGGGGAAUUUUGGACAAUGGCGCAAGCCUGAUCCAGCAAUGCCGCGUGCAGGAUGAAGGCCUCGGUU
rnacentral:rRNA from 1 species